rnacentral:rRNA from 1 species
ACGGCGUGCCUUUUGCAUAAUGAGCCUACGAGUUACUGUUACUAGCAAGGUUAAGAAUUUAAGGUUCGGAGCCGAAGCGAAAGCGAGUCUGAAUAGGGCGCUUAAGUUAGUAGUAGUAGACGCGAAACCGAGUGAUCUACCCAUGGGCAGGUUGAAGCUGUGGUAACACACAGUGGAGGACCGAACCAGUUGACGUUGAAAAGUCUUUGGAUGACCUGUGGGUAGGGGUGAAAGGCCAAUCAAACUCGGAAAUAGCUCGUACUCCCCGAAAUGCAUUUAGGUGCAGCGUUGAUUAAAAGUUUUAUAGAGGUAGAGCUACUGAUUGGAUGCGGGGGCUUCACCGCCUACCAAUUCCUGACAAACUCCGAAUGCUAUAAAAUGAUAAUCAGCAGUGAGGGCAUGGGUGCUAAGGUCCAUGUCCGAGAGGGAAAGAACCCAGACCAUCAGCUAAGGUCCCCAAAUAUAUGUUAAGUUGAAAAAACGAGGUUGAACUGCUUAGACAGCUAGGAUGUUGGCUUGGAAGCAGCCAUUCAUUUAAAGAGUGCGUAACAGCUCACUAGUCGAGCGGUUCGGCAUGGAUAAUAAUCGGGCAUAAACAUAUUACCGAAGCUAUGGCAUCGAAAGAUGGGUAGGGGAGCAUUCUAUAGGCGUUGAAGGUGUACUGCGAGGUAUGCUGGAGCGUAUAGAAAAGAAAAUGUAGGCAUAAGUAACGAUAAUGCGGGCGAGAAACCCGCACUCCGAAAGACUAAGGUUUCCUCAGCGAUGCUAAUCAGCUGAGGGUUAGUCGGGACCUAAGGCGAACCCGAAGGGGGUAGUCGAUGGACAACGGGUUAAUAUUCCCGUACCUGCUCACACUAAAAGUGACGGAGGCGUGUAGUUAGUGCGUACUGACGGAAUAGUACGUUGAACUAAGCGAAAGUUUAGGAUAGUACACAGAAACUUCGGUGGAUGUGAUAACCUAGCGAAGCGACUUCCAAGAAAAGCAAGUGAAGCAGCCCGUACCGUAAACCGACACAGGUAGUUGGGAUGAGAAUUCUAAGGUGCUCGAGAGAUUCAUGGCUAAGGAACUAGGCAAAAUAGACCUGUAACUUCGGGAGAAAGGUCGCCCCACUCCGGUGGGGCCGCAGUGAAAAGGUCCAGGCGACUGUUUAUCAAAAACACAGGGCUAUGCUAAAUUGAAAGAUGAUGUAUAUGGCCUGACACCUGCCCGGUGCUGGAAGGUUAAGUGGAGGGUUUAGCUUCGGCGAAGAUCUGAAAUGAAGCCCCAGUAAACGGCGGCCGUAACUAUAACGGUCCUAAGGUAGCGAAAUUCCUUGUCGGGUAAGUUCCGACCUGCACGAAUGGUGCAACGAUCUGGACACUGUCUCAGCCAUGAGCUCGGUG